AUCAAUAUCACGCUCGCGCUCUCGCUUCCCAGCCUCUGUAACUUGGCCGGAGUGACCAUCGAUCUUUGCAACCCCACCGGUAAGUUCUCUUUCAAAAUCUAAGUUCUCGAUGGUUCUCUGGGGUGUUUUGUGUAGGUCCUCCUGUGGUAUCGCCACCGGUUCUAGCACCUCCAACGCCACUAUUGUCGCCCCCAUAUCCUUCGCCAGCGCCUCCAGUUGAUUAUACUCCGCCACCUCCUAUUCUUUCGCCAUAUCCUGGUGGAUCAACUGGAUCAUCACCAACACCGCC
rnacentral:lncRNA from 1 species